GGCCCCGUAGUGUAGCGGCCUAGCACGCUGCCCUCUCAAGGCGGUAACGCGGGUUCGAAUCCCGUCGGGGCUACCA
rnacentral:tRNA from 2 species